CCUACGGGCGGCAGCAGUGGGGAAUAUUGGGCAAUGGGCGCAAGCCUGACCCAGCAACGCCGCGUGAAGGAAUAAGGCUUUCCGGUUGUUAACCUCUUUUCUCAGGGACGCAGAAUGUGACGGUACCUGAGGAAUAAGCAACGGCUAACUACGUGCCAGCAGCCGCGGCAAUACGUAGGUGGCAAGCGUUAUCCGGAUUUAUUGGGUGUAAGGGGCGUGUAGGCGGGAGCGCAAGUCAGAUGUGAAAACUCAGGGCUCAACCCUGAGCCUGCAUUUGAAACUGUGUUUCUUGAGUGCUGGAGAGGCAAUCGGAAUUCCGGGUGUAGCGGUGAAAUGCGUAGAUAUACGGAGGAACACUAGUGGCGAAGGCGGAUUGCUGGACAGUAACUGACGCUGAGGCGCGAAAGCGUGGGGAGCAAACAGGAUUAGAUACCCGAGUAGUC
rnacentral:rRNA from 1 species